rnacentral:lncRNA from 1 species
AAAUAAUAUAUGAUUGGUAUCUGUAUUUGAUCCACCUGGGUACAUGUACAUCCUAAAAGAAACAAACAAGAUGCCAUGCUACCUGAUGUGCAGCUUAUCACAUGAUACACAGAACUUCACAAAUCAUCAGAACAUCAAGUAUUAAAAUGCAUGAGCAAGCAGAUAAACCUACUCAAGAACUUGUUUCCCAAACUACUUACAACACACUGACCACAAUAUAAAGCCGGUAAUUGUACUGAUCCGCACCACUACAUCAUUGUAAUUUGUUCAAACCAGCACCUAAAUUCCACACACUGCCUCACUAUAUGCAGGUGAAAAGGCACAAACCAGAAAGCGACUAAACAAGCUAUAACAAGAUUGGCAUACCUAGCUUGGACCUUGUAUGCAGAGCUAGGGAAAUGAGAAAGUUGGAGGCAGUGUUAUUGUGGAAAUCGGCAUAGAC